rnacentral:rRNA from 1 species
UGGGGAAUAUUGGCCAAUGGGCGAAAGCCUGAUCCAGCCAUGCCGCGUGUGUGAAGAAGGUCUUCGGAUUGUAAAGCACUUUAAGUUGGGAGGAAGGGCAGUAAGUUAAUACCUUGCUGUUUUGACGUUACCGACAGAAUAAGCACCGGCUAACUCUGUGCCAG